rnacentral:rRNA from 1 species
GAUGAACGCUGGCGGCGUGCCUAAUACAUGCAAGUCGAGCGAACGGACGAGAAGCUUGCUUCUCUGAUGUUAGCGGCGGACGGGUGAGUAACACGUGGAUAACCUACCUAUAAGACUGGGAUAACUUCGGGAAACCGGAGCUAAUACCGGAUAAUAUUUUGAACCGCAUGGUUCAAAAGUAAAAGACGGUCUUGCUGUCACUUAUAGAUGGAUCCGCGCUGCAUUAGCUAGUUGGUAAGGUAACGGCUUACCAAGGCAACGAUGCAUAGCCGACCUGAGAGGGUGAUCGGCCACACUGGAACUGAGACGCGGUCCAGACUCCUACGGGAGGCAGCAGUAGGGAAUCUUCCGCAAUGGGCGAAAGCCUGACGGAGCAACGCCGCGUGAGUGAUGAAGGUCUUCGGAUCGUAAAACUCUGUUAUUAGGGAAGAAUAUAUGUGUAAGUAACUGUGCACAUCUUGACGGUACCUAAUCAGAAAGCCACGGCUAACUACGUGCCAGCAGCCGCGGUAAUACGUAGGUGGCAAGCGUUAUCCGGAAUUAUUGGGCGUAAAGCGCGCGUAGGCGGUUUUUUAAGUCUGAUGUGAAAGCCCACGGCUCAACCGUGGAGGGUCAUUGGAAACUGGAAAACUUGAGUGCAGAAGAGGAAAGUGGAAUUCCAUGUGUAGCGGUGAAAUGCGCAGAGAUAUGGAGGAACACCAGUGGCGAAGGCGACUUUCUGGUCUGUAACUGACGCUGAUGUGCGAAAGCGUGGGGAUCAAACAGGAUUAGAUACCCUGGUAGUCCACGCCGUAAACGAUGAGUGCUAAGUGUUAGGGGGUUUCCGCCCCUUAGUGCUGCAGCUAACGCAUUAAGCACUCCGCCUGGGGAGUACGACCGCAAGGUUGAAACUCAAAGGAAUUGACGGGGACCCGCACAAGCGGUGGAGCAUGUGGUUUAAUUCGAAGCAACGCGAAGAACCUUACCAAAUCUUGACAUCCUUUGACAACUCUAGAGAUAGAGCCUUCCCCUUCGGGGGACAAAGUGACAGGUGGUGCAUGGUUGUCGUCAGCUCGUGUCGUGAGAUGUUGGGUUAAGUCCCGCAACGAGCGCAACCCUUAAGCUUAGUUGCCAUCAUUAAGUUGGGCACUCUAAGUUGACUGCCGGUGACAAACCGGAGGAAGGUGGGGAUGACGUCAAAUCAUCAUGCCCCUUAUGAUUUGGGCUACACACGUGCUACAAUGGACAAUACAAAGGGCAGCGAAACCGCGAGGUCAAGCAAAUCCCAUAAAGUUGUUCUCAGUUCGGAUUGUAGUCUGCAACUCGACUACAUGAAGCUGGAAUCGCUAGUAAUCGUAGAUCAGCAUGCUACGGUGAAUACGUUCCCGGGUCU